CAGUUUGGUUUGCUUGCAAACCAAAGCUGGCGACCGGCGCACGGGUGAGUAACACGUAUCCAACCUGCCUCAUACUCGGGGAUAGCCUUUCGAAAGAAAGAUUAAUAUCCGAUAGCAUAUAUUUCCCGCAUGGGUUUUAUAUUAAAGAAAUUCGGUAUGAGAUGGGGAUGCGUUCCAUUAGUUUGUUGGCGGGGUAACGGCCCACCAAGACUACGAUGGAUAGGGGUUCUGAGAGGAAGGUCCCCCACAUUGGAACUGAGACACGGUCCAAACUCCUACGGGAGGCAGCAGUGAGGAAUAUUGGUCAAUGGACGCGAGUCUGAACCAGCCAAGUAGCGUGAAGGAUGACUGCCCUAUGGGUUGUAAACUUCUUUUAUAUGGGAAUAAAGUGGUCCACGUGUGGAUUUUUGUAUGUACCAUAUGAAUAAGGAUCGGCUAACUCCGUGCCAGCAGCCGCGGUAAUACGGAGGAUCCGAGCGUUAUCCGGAUUUAUUGGGUUUAAAGGGAGCGUAGGCGGAUUGUUAAGUCAGUUGUGAAAGUUUGCGGCUCAACCGUAAAAUUGCAGUUGAUACUGGCAGUCUUGAGUGCAGUAGAGGUGGGCGGAAUUCGUGGUGUAGCGGUGAAAUGCUUAGAUAUCACGAAGAACUCCGAUUGCGA
rnacentral:rRNA from 1 species